rnacentral:rRNA from 1 species
AGUGAACGCUGGCGGUAGGCCUAACACAUGCAAGUCGAACGGCAGCACAGUAAGAGCUUGCUCUUACGGGUGGCGAGUGGCGGACGGGUGAGGAAUACAUCGGAAUCUACUUUUUCGUGGGGGAUAACGUAGGGAAACUUACGCUAAUACCGCAUACGACCUACGGGUGAAAGCAGGGGAUCUUCGGACCUUGCGCGAUUGAAUGAGCCGAUGUCGGAUUAGCUAGUUGGCGGGGUAAGGGCCCACCAAGGCGACGAUCCGUAGCUGGUCUGAGAGGAUGAUCAGCCACACUGGAACUGAGACACGGUCCAGACUCCUACGGGAGGCAGCAGUGGGGAAUAUUGGGCAAUGGGCGCAAGCCUGAUCCAGCCAUACCGCGUGGGUGAAGAAGGCCUUCGGGUUGUAAAGCCCUUUUGUUGGGAAAGAAAAGCAGCAGGUUAAUACCCCGCUGUUCCGACGGUACCCAAAGAAUAAGCACCGGCUAACUUCGUG